GAAGUAGUGGACCAGACGAUUUUUAUUUAAACCGAUAGAUCGGGUCCAAUUUCUAUAUCUUCAAAGGGGGGAGAUUAAGAUUUUGUAUGAUUGUAAAGUGAGCAAUGAGGGCAAAGCAAAUAUCGACGUGUAAGGUAAUGCCAAUAGAAGAUGACGGUAUGGCUGGCGGGGUCACCAGAAAAAGCUCAUUCACAUUUGAGACUGGAUUCCAAAUUGAACCACUAGUAUGAUAGAUGGUCCACAUUCUGCAAGUUUUAAGCCUGCUAGGUUAGUGAAAAAUGUUAUUUGUGUUCUUUCUUCCCCUCCCGUAAAGAAUUUCAAAUUUUCUUUUAAAUUACAAUUAUACGAGAAUUAUAAUUUUUAUAAUAAUGAAAUUAUACAAAGCGUCAACGUUGACUGCAGUAGAGGUGAGUAUUCGAUCGGAUCGAAUCGAGUCAAAUUGAGUCAAAAAAUUUAAGUUAGUCGAGUUGACGAAUCUUAUUUUAGCAACCAACUCAAUUUGAAUUUUUUUUUUGAACCGAAUCGGAUUGAGUCAAAAAAUUUUGAGUCAAGUAGAGUCGAGUUAACGAAUCUUAUUAUUUAUACUCAAUGUUACGUUUACAUGGACUGAUUAUUUAACUAGUACACAAAGUAUAAGAUUAUUUAACUACAUAAACAAUAUAAUGAUUUUGCCUUUUAACUUAAUGAGUAAACAUUUAUCAAAGCGAUGUAGUUUUGCCUUUUAACUUAAUGAUUUUGACUUUUAACUUUAGAAAAGGUAAACAUUUAUCAAAACGACGUGGUUUUGCCUUUUCUUAUUCGGAUUUUCUGAUAACUCGAAUUAUUUAAUUCAUAUUCGAGUUAAACCGAAAAGCUUAAUUUUUUAUUCGAGUUGAUCUGAAUAACUUGAUUAACUCAUAUAACUCGAGCUAUUUAAAUCAAAAUUUAAAUUUUUUAUCAAAUUUUUUGAAUCGAAGCAGAUUUUACUCACUCCUAGACUACAGUGGUGGUUCAUAUCGCAUGUGAUAUGAAGAGAUACUAAGAAUGGAAGUUUGGGUUGAUGUUUUUACAGGAUGACUGCUAAUGGUUGAAUUUGAUUUGAUAGUUGACCGCUGCCAGACGUGCAAACAUCUUGGCUGAAAUACUGCAACAAAAAGGUAAAAAAUAAAACAACAGUGCCCGCAAUUAUAUGGGUCAAAUUGUAAUAUAGUAAGUUUACAACGAAACACUUCGGAAAGUAUUCUGAGGAUCGUACCCAAGGGAGAUUGAAUCAAACCAAAAACUACUUUCUACACUAACAAUGCUAAACAUUAAUAAUUGAAAUUAUAGUAUGAAUAAACAAAUAAAAAAUUAAGUAAGAAAAAUAACAAAAAGUAAUUAAAUAAGGUUAAUAGUCGAAAUUUAUUCAAUGGACAAACAGAAGGUUAACUCAUAUCAAUGUUUAAAAUUAACUUCAGAAUUUGGGUUUUAAUGAAUUAGCUAAUAAUUAACUAGUUAUUGCCUUUCAGCCUAUAGCUAAUUAACUAAUUGACAAAAACCACUAUCUCUCAACCUCUUAGUUUAAACUAGGUUGAAUUAAGAGUUGUUCGGUAAAGUAUUCUCUCGACCUCAUUUACCUAUAUUACUUCCUAGAGUUGUUAAUCUUAAGGUUUAAGCAUACAAAAUUCACGCCAACUAAUUCUAAGGCAAACCCUAAUUCUUCCAUUAAUUAAUCUCACCUCCGAUCGUUAAUCUCCCUAGGGGUUUAGCUACUCAUGGAUCUAAAUGCAAAAUUUCCUAACUUUAAUUUAAACAUGCAAAGUAAAUAUUAAACUAAAGAAAAGGGAAAAGAGAAAUUGAUUCGUUUCGAUGUUGAAUGCACUCAAAAGUCAAAAACCCUUUAACAGUCGUCGAGAUAAUAUCGAUUGCAAAUGGAAACCAAAGAAAAAUUAUGAAAUACUAAAAUGAAAGCUUGGAAUUAAUUUGGAUCCUCUAAAAAACAAGAACAAUAAUUCUGUAGAGAAAAUAAAACUAAAUUGAACUAAAAUUAAAAAUCUAAAAAUGGCCUCCUUAGCUAAGCCUGAACAUAACUAUAUAUACGCACCUGUUUCUACCUUAAUUAGGUCAAAUACAGGCCAUUAAACUGAAUAAAAUACAUUGUGCAAACGAACCUUCAACAAUGGUGUUGCGAUACCAUAGGACCGGUGUUGAGACACAAAACUUUGAAUGGAUCUUUUCUUGCUUCGAAAUAUGGAGUUCGACACUGCAUGCUAGUGUCGCGACAUUGACGUCAUCCUUGGUGUUCCUUGACCUGAAAAUGAUGUCCUGCACACUAAAUUGGCGUGUCAGUCUUACCCUAGGCCCAUAUUGGCCCAACGGUUUGUUACAAUACAAAUAUGCAUCUAAACUACUAAAUUAGAAAACUAAUUGAAAUACUAAUAAAAUGGUUCGAAAACAAGUUCAUUAAGUGUCGAAAAGACUUUAAUUUGCCACAUCGAAUUGUGGCAGAUCAAACUCCCUCACAGUUAACUCAUUGCUUGUCCUCAAGCAAAUAAAAAUACAAAGAAAAAGAAAACAAGACACUUAAAAGAAAUUGUAACACCCCUAACCUGUAUCCGUCGCCGGAAUGGGUUACGAAGCAUUACCGGAGUUAACGAAUCAAAACAUUCAAAAAUUUAAAACAUUCAAUUCACAACAUCACGUAUAGCAAAUUCAAUCAAUGUAAUACAUAUUGUCCCAUAUACGAGCCCUUGAGACCUUAAAAAUACAUUAGAAACGAGUCGAAACUAAAUUGGAAACAUAUAGAAUUUUUUGGAAAAAGAUGCAAAAUUUUAAACUGCAAGGGUUAUACGGCCUUGUGACUCACACGGCUGAGACACACGCCCGUAUCUCAGGCCGUGUAGGCAUCCGAAGUAGGGACACACAGCCAAGCCACACGCAUGUGUGCUAGGCCAUGUACCCUUUGAAAUGGCCUCACAUGCCUGUGUGCCAAGCGCUGUGCUAGGCCGUGUAACUGCUUGACUUGCAACCCUUUGUAAGCUACAGGGGACACACGACCGUGUUGCAUGGUCAUGUGUCACACACGGCUGAGACACACGCCCGUGUCCUUGGCCGCGUGGACAAAAAAUAGGUUAUUUCUAAGUCAUUUUUCUCACCCAAAGUCUAGCCACCUAACAUAUGCAUAUUCAAGCUUGUACAUCAUAAUAAUUAACCAUACAACCAAUAUGCCAAAAUGACACCUCAAUUUCAACAAACAAACUUGAUUAAGCACUUGCUAAAUUUAUCCAUAAAUCAAUCAACCAAUUGAACAACUUAAAUACUACAUUUACCUUAAUGUUCACAUACCAUUCUCAUACUUAACAAAUACCAUUAUGACCAUUUCCACAUUUAUCAUCUACCUUAACAAAUUGACCAAUUGCCAAAUACAUUCAAGGCUACCAAAACUCGCCAUUUAACAACUUAAUACACUAUCUAAUUUUAUACCAAACCAACAUCUCAUAACUUACCUUAAUAUUCAUCAAUUCAACUAUCAUCAUUUAGGUACUUAGAUGCCCAAAUAACAACCAUUAAAAAAUUCCACACAAACAUGAUAGCAUGACAACUAUUUCAUCACCCAAAAAUACAUUAUAUACAAGCCAAACAUAAUGGCUAAUUUCAUCAAACAAAAACACCUAUACAUGUCAUUAUAACCAUGACUCAAAAUCAUCAAAAUCUACCGAUAUAGUCGAUGGAUAGUGUGAUGGAUCUUCGACUAGCUUUCAACCCGAUUGAACUUCCAAUAAUCUGUAAGGUAAAGGAAAAUAACUAUGUAAGCAAUGUAUGCUUAGUAAGCUCGUAAAAACUUUAAGCAUAAAAUUCCAUUUCGAUAAUAAACUUUAUAGAAUAAACAUAAAUCUAUGCCAAUACUAUAAGAUUCAUAAAUCGAUAUGAUCAUCAAUUCACAAAUGAGUAAGUUUAUUAAUGUCGCAUAUUUAUUGACCAUUCAUAACAUGAUAGGAUUUCAUGAGACAUAAUAUAUAAUCAUUAACCUUUUACAAGAUUAUAUACCUUUCUAUUUACUUACUUUCCAUUCCGUCCCCAAUGCUUAUCAUAAGCCUAAGCAACAUUAUUAACUCUCAAUUCAGUAUAUUUUUCCAUGACAUAGGUGUAUUCAUUCAUAGCAUAAGUAAUUUUCUCACAUAUAAUACAUCCCAAUUAUGUACUCACCGUUUCAUUCUCUUUUCUUACCCGUUUCAUAUGCGUGGUACAAACAUAAUCAUAAACAUCAAUCAUAUCUACAAGCUUGGCAUAAGCCCUAGCACAUCAACAACACACAUUAGUUUAUUUAAACAUGGUUCAUAUGAAUUUGACAUGGAUAAUCAUUAUACUUGAGUAUGAUUUAAUUGGAUUUAUCAUCCAUCACAACAUAUCAUGUUUUUCCAUGUUUCAGCAUUCCAUUAAGUUUCAUAUAAACAUGUCUUAGUUAUUAUUGAACACUUACUAUUUCAUUUGCAUACACAUAAGACAUAAACAUAACAUUAACCAUAGCCACAAGCUAGUGAUUAAACACAUAACUUAGCAAUAUCAUCACAUGGUAAGAUAUGGUACAUAACAUAACAUUACUUAUAUCAUACAUUUCAUAAACAUGAAUAUUCAUACUUUCAUCAUUGAUACAUCUUACCUUUCCAUAUUUGUCGUAGUGAAGUCAAUUGGAACCCUUAUCGGAGCUCACACAAAGUGUGCUAAACGAUGGUUAUAAUUGUCCUUUUUCAUAUUCAAUAAUCGAAACCAUCCCUUUUCAUAAUCGAUUACUAAAUCUAUCCUUUUUCAUAUUCGAUGGUCGUCACCAUCCCUUUUCAUUGGUUGAUUAUUACCGAUACACUGUUGGAUUUACGUCGUCUCACAACAUGAUAACUUGUAUAAUAACAUAUAUAUUGAUUCAUUUUCAAUAAAAUCCUAUAUUAACAUUUAAUUUAAUCAAAAUUAUACAUAAUACAGUUCAUACGAACUUACCUGGCUAAAUUGCAGAAAUGUAAAAGUAUAGGGGCAUUUUGGUAAUUUUCCAUUCUCCUCAAUUUUCCACCCGGUCUUGACCUAAAUUAAUAAUUUUAUUCAAUAUACUAAUUUAGACAGUAAAAAAUGUAUCUUAUGCAAUUUGGUUAUUUUUGAAAUUUUUACAAAAUUACCCCUAAAGUUUUACUUUUAUUCAAUUUAGUCCUUGAGCCUAAAACAUGAAACUUAACCAUUUUUACCCUGAAUUGAGCCUAGCCAAAUACUUAUGGCAUCUAAAAUAGCCCAUGCGUGUAACAAUUUCACUUCAAAUCCUUGAACUUUUACUACUUCAAUAAUUUAGUCCUUAAUCAAAAAAUUCAUCAAAAAUCACUUAAUAAAAUAAUUUUAAAUAAAAAAUAAUAUUUCAAAUUCAUCAUUUAACAUAUAAAAUCACAAGUUUCAUCAAUGAAAACAUUCAAAAUCUUUAACAGUUUCAAAAUCAAAGGUACGGACUAGCUGUACCUAAUUGCAACGAUUUCAAAAACAUCAAAAUUAUUAAAAACGGGUAAGAGUUUCUUACCAUGCAUGAGGAAUUCACCAUGGUCGAACCUAGCUUCAGUUCCAUGGACAUUCGGUUUUACUUGGAGAAGAAAACCAAAAAGAUGAUGAUAAUUUAACAUUUUGUUUUCUUUUAAUUAAUUAAUUAUAAAAUUUACCAUUUUGUGCACUUAAUAUCAUCCAAUUUCAUGCUUUUAGUUUCCCAAAACCGUCCACUAAAACCUUAAAUUGUUUAAUUACCAUUUAAUCCAUUUUCCUUUAUUCAAUUAACCAUUUAAUCACUCAAAUCAAAUAGCGAUCAAAUUUCGCAUCUUUUACGAUUUAAUCCUUUUUAAUUAAUUAACUAUCGAAACGUUAAAAAAUUUUUAACGAAACUUUAAUACCACCUUAAUGAUACUUUGUAAAUAUUUUUAUAAAUAUUUACGACUCGGUUUGUAGAAACGAGGUCCUGAUACCUCCUUUUUUAGAACCACUUAACCUUAGGGUCAUACCACUUGAACUUAAUUAAUCACUUAUAUCAUAUAAAAUAUUAGCUAAUAACAUUUACAAACUUACUCAUCGAAUUUGUGCCCCCGAAACUACUAUUUUCGACAUCACUAAAAAACAGGCUGUUACAGAAAUUGUACUUGAGCAUGCUUCAUACACGAAAUUAUUUUGAGACACCUAAGAUAGGAAAUUUUGGCUAAACAUGAAAUUCUAAUUAGAUAUACAAACGAUUCACAAUUUUUAAUUUCAAACAUGUUAGUUCAGUGAGUUACAAGGAAAACAAGUCAAUGUUAGUUAAACAUAUACUCCCAUCAAAACACAUACACGAGUACCACAUCAAUGUUUGAAGAAUACAGGUAAUUAGAACUCCACCAACUCAGUUUCUUUCAUCCAUUUUUUGAACUCUCGUAUAAUAUUGAUGUAUAAGCAACUUCAACGAGUAUUUGUGCAAUUAUGAGUAAAAAUUUCUUAAGUACUCAUACUUUUUAUUUUCUUUGUUUUCAUUUUGUUCACUCUUCACUCAUAUUACUUUUAACCAUUUUAUGAUUUUAUUUCACUCGCUUUUCUUUUAGCCCUCACAAUGCUUUUGUUCACUCAUUAGUUUUCAUUUAGGCACAUAUUUGUAAGGAUUAUAUACUUAUUAUACUAUAUUAUUUCAAUAUCCAUUGAUUUCCAUAACUGAGUGAUAAAAUUCCAACAACCUAUGAUUCAAACAAACAUAUAUGAUUACUUGUGUAUACCUUUAUCAUUUUGGUAUGCUUAACUCAUCUUUCCUCUAUAUAGUUUAACAAAUUGAACUAACUAGUCUAAAAUUAAACAACUUCAAAUGAUUUAUUAUUAGGCUAGAUUUACAGUUUAUACAAACAACCUAUUCACAUUCUCCUAACCAAUCACUUGUAUUUCUACAAGCUCAAGCACAAGCUAACACAUGACGAAAAUUUAACUAAAAAUUAUCAUAAAUAAAAAAAAUCAUAACAAACAAAUUUUAAAAUUCCUAUGUUACCCCUCUCACACUUUAUUUGGCACAUUGUCCCCAAUGUGCACCCAAAAGAUAAGAAAAGAGAUUACCUAGUUUUUCAUAAGAGUGUCGCGAGGUAGUCGGGUGUCUUCUCGCUAUGUUAGCUCAAUCACUUAGUGUCAUAUGUGUGAGGUUUCUACACAGGAAGAAACAUUUUUUAUAAUAGUAAUAAUAAUAAAAGAUUAAAGAAAAGAAAAUUGAAAUAAUCCAGUUUUUUAAUAUAAGCCUAAUAAAUUAAAUUAAAAUCAUAUUCUUAGUUGAAAUCAGUUUCCAACUCAUCUGUGUCCUCUUUUUUGGUGUUUUCCUCAUCCUUGUUUUCAUUGGGAUCCUCUUCCUCAUCUUUAUCAUUUCCUUGUACAAACCCAUAUCUAAUGGGUGGGAAUUGUGGCAUCUGCAGGUUGUUUUUGUACAUAAUCUUUGAAAAUCGACCUUGCCUCUUGCACCCAUUGAAAUAUCCAUUGUGAGCACAGAAUGUUACUUCUAUCUUGAUAUUGUCUAGUCUCCACUUCUCGUCUUCGUUUUAGAGAUUGAGGGGCCUUUCACUUAUUGUUCUUGUUGUCGGUUCCAUUCUGUAACUUGUUUGUGAUGUGACUCUAAGAGUUAUUUAUAUGUAGAGUAUCUGAUGGGAUUCUCCAUUGGCCUAAAAAAUAAUCCGGACCUACCCAUAGGAACCUUCGCCUUUUUACAUAGGGCUGUUACAAGAUGCGGAAAGGGCAUUCCAAUUUUCUUUUUACGAACACAACAAAUCAUGCUUCUGUAUAUCCAAGUCCUAAUACAGAUCUUUUCCUUUUGUAAAAUUGCAUAAAGAAGAUUACCUAGGAAAGUAUUGAUGUUAGCGACAUGCAUAGCAGGAUAUAUUUGAGUACAGAUAAAUUGCAACCACAUUUUAGCCUUAAGGGACAUGUUAGUUUGGUGAAAUGAUAUUAGAGAAUUAGUCCCUAAUUCACAUUUUCAAACACCUCGCCCCUUAGAUAAAUAGUUUAUUAUGUUGUCCAUUUCUAUAUUUCGAUAAAAAUUUAAAUUGGUUCGUUGCAGAAAAUCAUACAUAUAGAACAGAGCAUCAUAAAAUCUACAAAUUUUUGGGGUGAAGUAGAGAUGUCCUUACCCCUAACAAUUACUUGUGACCAUGGUUCGCCCAAUGGUCUUUAUGCUUCGGACCAUUUUAACGAAGCAUAAAAUUAUUGUACAAUUGGACUGCACGCCAAUUCUGUUGGAGUUUGACAUAAAUUGUCCUACUUAUGGUAUUGCACUAAAUCCCAUAUAUGUUACAGAGACCUAUCGGGAAUUCGAAUCCCCUUUCUUGGAGAAGCGUUUUCUUCUUGAUUUCAAAUAAGUAAGUUUCCACUUUUUUCUUUUUAAUGUUAGCAAAAUUAUCAACAGUUAAUGGCUUAUUGUCCGUAAUUCCUCUAAAUUGCCUGAAAGCAAUGUAAACCACCCCGAGUUUUCAAUAAUCAAUGACCGAACAAGAAAAAUUAUUAAAACAUUGAAAUAUAUUUAGCGAAGGGUUGAGUCGCUUAACUUCUUUUGUCGCUUGGCUUGAGUUUGCUGAGUACGUUGGAUGGUUGUAAAAAAAAGAUCUCGUCCUGCGUGACAAAUGAGUAGUAACUGGGGUGAAAAGAAGCAUAAUUGUAAUGGAGAAAGGAGAGAAAAAGAAUGGAGAAUGUUUUUUUUAAUCUAAGGAAAAGAGAGGUGGGGGAUGUUUGGUGGUUAAAGUUUAAGUUUGGGGGUUUAAGAUGCUAUUAUGUGUGUUAUUUUAGAGGUUUUAGGGUUAAUUUGUAUGGGUUUCAAACAAUAUUUCAGUGGGUUGCGUGAGAAUCUAAAAAAAUAUACGGAUUUGAUUUUGUGUCGUGAAACUGGGUGUGGAUGUCGCGACACCAAUCUUCAAAGUUUUCAAUUUUCUCUUUUGAAAUACUGUGUCGUGACAUUGGGGUUUAGUUUCGCGACAUUGGCUUUAUUUUUUUUUGAAAUCUGUCAUUUUGAAGUGCGGUGUCGCGACUAGGCAAAGCUAGUAUGUCACGUUGCGAUGAGGAACCCCCUCACGUUGUGACGUCAAUCCUGUAAUUUGAAACUUUUACAAUUCAGUCUUAAUUCAAUCUUGGGUUAACAUUAAAACUUUUGUAAACUCAUGUAAGACCCAGGUAUGAUUAUAUGACGUAUUAUAUAUGUAUAUUGCUUGCAUUUUUAUGUUAUUUGGUAUUAAUGAGUUUAAUCCAAUCGUAGUUGCUUUGGCAACGAAUGUGACACCUUAUAGCUCAAACCUAGUGAUUGGGUUGAGUAUGAGGUGUUACGAUUUAAUUGAAAAUUAAUUAAUUAAAAUUAAUUUAAUAAAUAAUGUUUAUUUUGGGAAAUAGAGAAACAUAUACUAGGGUGGAUUAAAUUAUAAAGUGUUGGGUUAAAAGUUCAAGAAGCACAUAUAAUUGGACCCAAUACAGAAGAGGCCCGAAUCUCCAUUAUAAUACAUAUGAGAGGAAGCACAUCCUACUAGCCCCCUUUCUCUUAGUUCAACUAGGGGAUUGUUUUUUUCUAUUAAAUAGGCAUCAAAUGUAUUCUACUAAUUCAACUAGGGUUUUAUUUCCUCUCCUUAUAAACAGAUAGCACCGAUAGGGCUAAAAAUACAAUAAGUUACACACAACUUUUGAGAUAUUGUUGUUCUAUUUGAAAAUAGUGAGAAUUUAUUUUUAAGUAUAAAUUUAAUUUUCUGAAAGAAUAACAUUUCUACUAGUUUCUAUAAGAGAUAGUUUUAUUUUUCCAUUGAAAGUAAAGUAAAUAAUUUAUGGUUUUGUGUUUGAUUCGAAUUUGUCUAAGCCCACACUAGAAGUAGCCCGUGGUACAAGAAUAGAGAAGAAGGUUGUUCGGUUGAAAACCGGGAAUGAAAAUGAUUUGUGCAGCCCAAAACACAGGUGCGAUUUUGAGAAAAAGUUUAUUACUAUAAAUAUCACAAACCGAUUCAGUUUUUAAAAUUUUAUUUUUCCGCCGAGAAAAAAAAUCAUUUUCGAACCUAAUUUUUCCUAACAACUAGAGUCUUAGGAGGUCACACUCGACGAUGUAUUGAGACUUUAGAAUGCCAUGCCUAAUAAGGCACUGGGGCUUAGGAGCUUUGCCCAAUAGGGCAUUAGAGCCUUAAAACACUAUGUCUACUAUUGUUGGGAUCUAGUGCCCUUAAUGUAGUUUUUUGUCAUAUGUAAUUGUAAUUUUUUGAAUAGAUUUGUUCAUUAAAAUUACAUCUUUCACAUUAAUAUCGUUUGUCUUUUCCAUCAACGUUUUUUGCACAUAAAGCAAAAUGAAGAAGCAAACAUUGGUUCAUUGAUUACCUAAUUUUAACUAAUAUUAAGUUGCAUUGUUUGGUCAGAUCAUAAUGUAAGAAGAUAACUUAUAUUAGUAGGUAAUCUAAAUGAUCUCUAGUCUAACCAAAAUAGAGAAAACCAAUUAAAAUACUAUUAUGUCGUCUAUCAAGUCCAAAUGGGAGAUGCCUUGUCUUGAGUAUUAGAAUGGGUGACUCUCAGAAGAUAGAGACAUAGGUGUAGUUGUCUGAAUUGAUAAUACAUUGGACAAGACUAAAGUAGAAUAAAUCAUGGAUUCAUUUAUGGACUUAUUCACUUGUGACGUUCAUAGUGUGACUUACCUCAAGCUUCAGUAAGUGACAGACUAUGCAUGCAUGACUUGUAUACUUUGAUGUAUUGAAAACCUGUGUGUGGAAUUCAUAGCUGGUAAAUGCCAAAAGUAACAAGUUUUAGCCUCAUUCUUAAUGUAUUUUUGGAUGAUUAUUCGAUGUAAAAUGGUGAAUUUUAUGUUCCUAAUCCUUUAAAUUCAUGUUUCUAUACUUAGGAAUGAAAAAAAAGCAAAAAUUGGAGCAAGUUUUAGGAGCCACACAGGCUGGG
rnacentral:lncRNA from 1 species